rnacentral:tRNA from 1 species
GGAUAUAGCUCAGUUGGUAGAGUACUUGCCUUGCAUGCACAAGGCCUUGGGUUCAAUCUCCAGAACCA